CCUACGGGUGGCUGCAGUGGGGAAUAUUGCGCAAUGGGCGAAAGCCUGACGCAGCGACGCCGCGUGAGGGAUGAAGGUCUUCGGAUCGUAAACCUCUGUCAGCAGGGAAGAACGGUCACUGUGCUAAUCAGCAGUGAAUUGACGGUACCUGCAAAGGAAGCACCGGCUAACUCCGUGCCAGCAGCCGCUGGCAUACGGAGGGUGCGAGCGUUAAUCGGAAUUACUGGGCGUAAAGCACUCGGAGUCGGUAUGUCCAGUCAAGGGGGAAAUCCCCGCGGUCAACGUGGGAACUGCCGUUGAAACUGGCAAACUUGAGUGUGUGAGAGGAGAGUGGAAUGCCAGGUGUAGGGGUGAAAUCCGUAGAGAUCUGGAGGAACAUCAGUGGCGAAGGCGACUAUCUGGCACAUAACUGACGCUGAGGAGCGAAAGCGUGGGUAGCAAACAGGAUUAGAUACCCCUGUAGUC
rnacentral:rRNA from 1 species